AGCCGCGGUAAUUCCAGCUCCAAUAGCGUAUAUUAAAGUUGUUGCAGUUAAAAAGCUCGUAGUUGAAUUUCGGGAUCAAUAUGUCGGUCGUGCCUUCGGUACGUACUGGUAUCAUUGGUCUCUCCUUUCUGACGAACCAUGAUGUCAUUAAUUUGGUGUUAUGGGGAGUUAGGACUGUUACUUUGAAAAAAUUAGAGUGUUUAAAGCAGGCUUUAGCUUGAAUACAUUAGCAUGGAAUAAUGAAAUAGGACGUUCGAACCUAUUUUGUUGGUUUCUAGGAUCAACGUAAUGAUUAAUAGGGAUAGUUGGGGGCAUUAGUAUUCAAUUGUCAGAGGUGAAAUUCUUGGAUUUAUUGAAGACUAACUACUGCGAAAGCAUUUGCCAAGGAUGUUUUCAUUAAUCAAGAACGAAAGUUAGGGGAUCGAAGACGAUCAGAUACCGUCGUAGUCUUAACCAUAAACUAUGCCGACUAGGGAUCGGAUGAUGUUAAUUUUUUAAUGACUCAUUCGGCGCCUUACG
rnacentral:rRNA from 1 species